rnacentral:rRNA from 1 species
AAUCUUGCGCAAUGGAGGGAACUCUGACGCAGCGACGCCGCGUGAACGAUGAAGGUCUUCGGAUCGUAAAGUUCUGUCCUCAGGGAAGAAGGUCACUUAACGUGACUUGACGGUACCUGACGAGAAAGCCACGGCUAACUACGUGCCAGCAGCCGCGGUAAUACGUAGGUGGCAAGCGUUGUCCGGAUUUAUUGGGCGUAAAGCGCGCGCAGGCGGUCUUUUAAGUCUGAUGUGAAAUCUUACAGCUUAACUGUAAGCGGUCAUUGGAAACUGGGAGACUUGAGUGCAGAAGAGGAGAGUGGAAUUCCAUGUGUAGCGGUGAAAUGCGUAGAGAUAUGGAGGAACACCAGUGGCGAAGGCGACUCUCUGGUCUGUAACUGACGCUGAGGCGCGAAAGCGUGGGGAUCAAACA